AAAAAAAAAAAGAAGUUUGGAGUGUCUGCUCCAUGUUGGAUAAAAAAACUAAAUAAAAUCCUGGGAAAUGUGAAGAAUGCCAAAGAAAUGGAAAAAUGAGGACAGAAAAGAAUACUACUGCCUGGUUUCUGUGGCCAUAGGUCAAGCUGGAAAACAUUUUUCCAUAAAACCAUGUGCAAUUUCAUGCCACAGGUGAAAGAAUAGCCCAAAUCCACAAGAGGGAAUUUGGAUGUACAAACAGAACCAAGGAUGUGCAGAACCAGAAGAAAGAUCAUGUGAGAACACCGCCCUAAGUAUCUGCAAGCCAUGGAGAGAGACCUCAAAAGAAACUGAACUCUGACAACACCUCUAUCUCGCUCUUCUAGCCUUUAGAACUAUGAGAACAUAAAUCUCGGUUUUUUAAGCCAUCCAGUUUGUAAUACUUUGUUAUGGCUGACACAGAAAACUAAUAAAAGAUACAAAAAUACAGUAAA
rnacentral:lncRNA from 1 species